rnacentral:rRNA from 1 species
UGGGGAAUUUUGGACAAUGGGCGCAAGCCUGAUCCAGCAAUGCCGCGUGCAGGAUGAAGGCCUUCGGGUUGUAAACUGCUUUUGUACGGAGCGAAAAGGUCUGCCCUAAUACGGUGGGCUAAUGACGGUACCGUAAGAAUAAGCACCGGCUAACUACGUGCCAGCAGCCGCGGUAAUACGUAGGGUGCGAGCGUUAAUCGGAAUUACUGGGCGUAAAGCGUGCGCAGGCGGUGAUGUAAGACAGAUGUGAAAUCCCCGGGCUCAACCUGGGACCUGCAUUUGUGACUGCAUCGCUGGAGUGCGGCAGAGGGGGAUGGAAUUCCGCGUGUAGCAGUGAAAUGCGUAGAUAUGCGGAGGAACACCGAUGGCGAAGGCAAUCCCCUGGGCCUGCACUGACGCUCAUGCACGAAAGCGUGGGGAGCAAACA